rnacentral:tRNA from 1 species
GGGCCCGUAGCUCAGUUGGUUAGAGCAGUCGACUCAUAAUCGAUUGGUCGGGGGUUCAAGUCCCUCCGGGCCCACCA